GCCCCGCAAGGGGAGCGGCAGACGGGUGAGUAACGCGUGGGAAUCUACCUUUUGCUACGGAAUAACUCAGGGAAACUUGUGCUAAUACCGUAUGUGCCCUUCGGGGGAAAGAUUUAUCGGCAAAGGAUGAGCCCGCGUUGGAUUAGCUAGUUGGUGGGGUAAAGGCCCACCAAGGCGACGAUCCAUAGCUGGUCUGAGAGGAUGAUCAGCCACACUGGGACUGAGACACGGCCCAUACUCC
rnacentral:rRNA from 1 species